CACGUAGGGUGCGAGCGUUGUCCGGAAUUACUGGGCGUAAAGCGUGCGCAGGCGGUUUUGUAAGCCAGAUGUGAAAGCCCCGGGCUUAACCUGGGAAUGGCAUUUGGGACUGCAAGGCUUGAGUGCGGCAGAGGAGACUGGAAUUCCUGGUGUAGCAGUGAAAUGCGUAGAUAUCAGGAGGAAUACCGAUGGCGAAGGCAGGUCUCUGGGCUGACACUGACGCUCAUGCACGAAAGCGUGGGGAGCAAACAGG
rnacentral:rRNA from 1 species